rnacentral:rRNA from 1 species
AGCUUGCUGGGUGGAUUAGUGGCGAACGGGUGAGUAACACGUGAGUAACCUGCCCUUAACUCUGGGAUAAGCCUGGGAAACUGGGUCUAAUACCGGAUAGGAGCGUCCACCGCAUGGUGGGUGUUGGAAAGAUUUAUCGGUUUUGGAUGGACUCGCGGCCUAUCAGCUUGUUGGUGAGGUAAUGGCUCACCAAGGCGACGACGGGUAGCCGGCCUGAGAGGGUGACCGGCCACACUGGGACUGAGACACGGCCCAGACUCCUACGGGAGGCAGCAGUGGGGAAUAUUGCACAAUGGGCGCAAGCCUGAUGCAGCGACGCCGCGUGAGGGAUGACGGCCUUCGGGUUGUAAACCUCUUUCAGUAGGGAAGAAGCGAAAGUGACGGUACCUGCAGAAGAAGCACCGGCUAACUACGUGCCAGCAGCCGCGGUAAUACGUAGGGUGCGAGCGUUAUCCGGAAUUAUUGGGCGUAAAGAGCUCGUAGGCGGUUUGUCGCGUCUGUCGUGAAAGUCCGGGGCUUAACCCCGGAUCUGCGGUGGGUACGGGCAGACUANAGUGCANUAGGGGAGACUGGAAUUCCUGGUGUAGCGGUGGAAUGCGCANAUAUCAGAGGAACACCGAUGGCGAAGGCAGGUCUCUGGGCUGUAACUGACGCUGAGGAGCGAAAGCAUGGGGAGCGAACAGGAUUANAUACCCUGGUAGUCCAUG